AAGGUAUAAAUAAAAAAUGUUUUCUGUCCCAAACGUGAAUAUUUUCCCAGCCGCCGGUUUCCGAGUCGUAAAAGCCCUUAUCCCAGCCCAGCGCAGUGCACGGCGAGCUGCAGACGCGCGCUCGGCGGCGCGGAUGCUCUAAGGGGCGCGUGGAGCAGGAAAGGAAAUAUCUUUGGAGAAUCGCAUCGAGAUAGAAAUGUGAGGAUCCGAGUAAAGGGCUGUAGGAGCUUGUUUGAAGUAAGAGACGUGUUCUGGAAGUUACCUACAAAAACUGGGAACAUAAAAAAAAACAAAAACAAAAACAAAAAACCUGGGAACAUGAGCUGGUUCAAGAUCCAUUCCCCUCACCACAAAAAAAAAAAAAAAAAAAUGGGAAUUGCAUACUGUGUCCCGGGUACAGAUGUAUGGAUCUAGACCAAACAGGUGUGGUGCUAGGCUGAGAGAUGAUAGAUCACCAGCCCCCAAAGUCUUUAUGUUGGGAAACAUGAUGUCAUUAAGGUUCAUCUUGCACCAUUGGGUCUUAGUGUUCUAGCCAACGGAAUGGGAAAAUAUUUGUGAAUUCACUGUUACUGACAAAUAAUCAUUAGAAGUUAUUUUAUUAUAAAACAAAAUUAAUGCUCUAGCCCAGACAUUAGCAAACUUUUCACAAAGAGCCAGAUGGUAAAUGUUUUAGGUUUUGCUGGCCGUAGAUCUCUAGAGCGACUACUCAACUCUGCCUUUGUGUGGCCAUAGACGGAACAUAAACAAGUGGGCGUGGCUGUGUCCCAAUCAAGUCUUAUUUACAAGAGCAGUUGGUCUGUAUGAUUUGGCCGGUGGACUGUAGUUUUCCAACUGCUUUGUGGUCAAUGAAUUCGUUCCUUCAUAACUGAAUUUUAUUUGAAAGGUGAGAAUCAGUUGCUCUUCUGGAAAAUAUUAACCAAGUGUUCCUAUCAUUGGUACUUGAAGACUUCGACUUCAGCGUCAUGAGGUUAAAUUGCAAAGCCCUUUGAACAGUGUUUUGAAGAGAAGAAUCAUGAUGUAAAUAAGAAAUUGUUUGUUAGGAGUGGUUAUAUCGGUCUUGAGCAAAGAGUCAGUGUCUCAGAGUUUCUUUGAUUUAACUGGCCUGUACUUUUCUUCUUAAACAAAUCUAUCUUCUGCCAGAAAGCUGGACAUAGUUCUUAAUUUCAGUGGGGUCCGAGCUUCGAGGUGGGGAAGCAUAUGGGUACCAUACAUUUGUUAGUGUUUGUCUCCAUGUAAUCACAAAAAUCGAAUACUCCAGAACUCUGUAUAACAAAUUUGGAUGGUCUACUUUAAUGCACGGAGUCUCUAUAUCAUAAAGGCAGCAAAUGCAAAGAGUAUUCCUUAGUAUCAUUACUUCAUGCUUUAAUAAAUCAGGAUGAUUGACAGAAACUUUUGCUACUUUUGUUUUCAUGGAUUCCCUCGUAGUACAGACUGUAAUCUGUGCAUUAGUCUCUGAUUGGAAGUCAUUAAUCAUAUUUCAAAGCUAAGUACAACUAUGUGGAAAUACAUAUAACUCUUUAUGGACUAUUGACAACUCUCUCAUCUCUCUCUCGCUCUCUCUCCAUUCAGAGCAGUCCCUAUGGACUCCCAAAUAUCCACGAAUAUUUAUUUUUGCAAAAUUUUAAUGUUAUCAAUGCUUAAAGGAAGUUUCAUACUUUGAAAAACUUCCCAGUCUGUGAUAUGGCUUUUGUGGUUGUUGUUCUUGUAUUUUGUUUGUUUUUAUACUUUCAGCAAGCAUGUUGUUAUUCUUUGGUGUUUGGCUUAUUUUUGGAGAUACUCCCAAAGCAACUGGAGAGGAUAUAUAUAAAAUAAAUAAGGUAGAUGUUCAAGUUGGGGAUAAUAUUUUUG
rnacentral:lncRNA from 1 species